CUGAUUUUCCCGUUGGGCUCUAUCAGCAUGUCCACUGUGAGGCUUGCCUCCACUUUUUCCAGUGCCCACAUUUACCUCUCAGAGUGCAUCAACAAUCGUCAGGACGUUGGAAGGUUCCAAGACAUCUGCAGAAAGCAUGGGGCUCCACCAGCCUGGCCGAUGCACCCCAGAGAUUCUUGUCUACCAAAUGCUUUCUGACAUCCCUACAUGAAGGACUGGAGAGUGAAAAGGGCAAGACAAUGACCUGAAAAAGUAAGCAAGACUGUCAGUGUUGAAAGGAGCCAUGUGGACUAUCUAGGACAAAUGCCUCAUGUCACAAAAGAGGGAACGAGGGCUUCUCCAGUCACACUGGGAGGCCGCAGGUGCUCUCUGGCUGCCUCUGACUCCUGGACCAUGCUUGUGAAAAUACCAGGACGGUAAAUUAGUGAAUUCCAAAGUCAGGAUUUUUGUUGGAUCUGGCACAGUCACAGGAAAGUCUGAGUUUUCUCAAGGGCAUCCCUGUCUCACCGAGGGGCACCAAGGACAGACGACCAGAAGCAAAUGGCGCAGUCACCGUCAGAGGAGAGUAAAACUCAUUCUGAAACGGUUCCAAAUGCCCAUGCCUGCUCUGUGGUUUUCAGCAAAGCGGACCUUUCCAAAAGACCUCCAACAGGGACUUCCUGGAUGUGAGAACACUAACCAAUUCUCGUUCCUCUCAUCUUUUGCUUUAUUCCUUCCUUCCAUGCUGUUAUUGCGAAAAACUGGUAGUUAAAUUCAAUUGAUUCAAAAUAUUCGGGAUCCAUAUGGCCGCCAACCCUGGAGCUGAAGCGGCGAUAGCGCCUCACUGCUGUUUUCAAGCAUUUGCCUCUCCUCCAGUCCCCAGAUGGUGGGAGUAACAUUUAAACCUCCUUUUCUCUGCCUUGUACAAUAGACCUUGGCACCAUUUCAACUGUUUACUCCGGUAAUUAACAGCUCUGAUACCACAACAAUUACAACUCCUACACUCUCACCACAAUAAUGCUAUGAAUUAGUGAGAGCUAAUGGCUGGAAGGUAGAGUGUUUCCAGACUGUGGGAUCUGUGCAUUUUUAGAAUAAAAUAAAAGGUACAAACAGCACGCUUGCAGUAGACAAUGAUUACCUAGUAAUUAGUUUACACAAAGCUUCCUAUUUAAUGGCAAAACGCUGUAAUUAACGUGUGACAGAAAAUCAAAGGGUACUUUGUAAGCAUAUUAAAAAUUAACACUGCAGGCCCAUAGCUUUAUGUACUGAUUAGAAGCAUAUUAAAUCAAUAGGACACACAAACCAACAGCUUGGGUAGCUGAUUAUUAUAGGUCCUCAGAAGGGGUACCCUGGCUUUCAUUUCACUUGGGGAGGCAAUUUUCCUUCUCCUGUCAUCUUCCUCAGGCACAGAGAAACACCUCAAACUCAACCCUGGCAGCUUCAUGAAAAUAACCACUGAACUGGAAGAAAACAUUCUAAGUCAUUCUCAGAGAUGAAGACAAAUAUGUAAAUGAUUAAGACUUUCCAAUGAUUGUGGUGACGUGCUGCUACACUAAUUAGAAAAUACACCAACUGGAACCAGAAAAUAAAGCCACUGGGUUGCAAUCUUCCGGUCAGAAUAAUCUCUACUUUGUCAAGCCUCUUUAUUCAACUCAUAGAAAGUUCAAAUAAAUGGAACUGUUUUAUAUUUCUAAAUGAUAAGAAAGCAGGCUGCUAUGAAGACUUAUUCUUUCCAAGGCACUGUCUGGGUAAAGCAUAGGCUGGGAACAACUGGAUCAACCAACAUUCUGUAUCUUCAACAGCCACAACCCCAUAUAAUGAUGGCUGAUGGACAUAGACAGCAAUAUCCUGGAAGCCUACCAGAGCCUAAAGAACCUUCUGAAUCACCAAAGAAAGAUUAAGUUGUAUGUACUUGUUCAAUGUUACCUGUAUUUUGUUAUAAUACAAUUUUAUGGUAAUAAUAACAACAAUAAUAAUAGGUAGCAUUUCUUAAAGUCUUAUUAUGUGCUAAGCACACUGCUAGCCAAUUCAUAGAAUUAUCUCAUUUACUUGUCACCACUUCCCCAUGAGACAGGUACUAAUCUCUCUUUACAGAUAGAGAAAGGGAGACUUGGAGAGCUGAAGUAAUUUGCCUAUAGUUAUCCCCCAGGGAGCAUGGGAGUCUAACCUAGGUGUCCCUGGCUAUGGAACCCCAGGAAGCCAAACUACCUCUUAGUUACCCUGAAUGACUAGCCUGUUCCAACACUCAUUCUGCUUAAAAGGCAGUUUACUAUGUCAACCUGGAAUAGGAGACUAAAAAAAUUAAAACAAAAACAAAAUAUUUGGUUGCUUAUUUUUUUAAAAAACAGGGUGUUUCUGCUUUUAGAGAUAGGAGUCUUGUUCUGUCACCCAGGCUGGAGAGUGGUGGUGCAGUCAUGACUCAUUGCAGCCUCAAACUCCUGGGCUCGAGUGAUCCUCUUUCUUCAGGCUCCUAAGUAGCUGGAACUACAGGCACACACCUAAUUUUUAAAUUUUUUGUAGAGAUAGGGUCUCACUAUAUUGCCCAGGCUGGUCUUGAACUCCUGGCCUCAAGCCAACUCCCACCUCAGCCUUCCAAAGUGUUGGGAUUACAAAAUAUUACAGGAGUGAUCGACUGCACUGGGCUAAAAACAAGGGUUUUAAAUGCUUACCAUAUUUUUAAUGCUACAUCUGAUUGUGAAGGUGGGCUACUCAAAGCUUUUUGGGAAUUUACAGGCUCACUAAAAUGAUCACGAUAGUGUAUUAAAUUGAGAAAGGCAUUGAAAAUCUGUCAUUCCCAUGAACAACCAAAGGGUGAUGUCUAAAAUUCUCUCUCAUCACCCAUGCACAUAACCAGGUAUAUGAGGCAGUUGGGUUGCAAGAGCUGAAUCCUAGAAACUCCUAGGCAGGGCUCCUCCUCUCCAGCUCUGAGGUGUGUGUAUUGAUGGCCCCCUACACCUCCCAGUUUGCUGCCUUGUGGGAAAAGGAGACCAGCUCUUCUGUUAUCUAGGAAAGGGAAGAAAUUUGAGAGCAGUGGCCUCUGUGUUCCAGGAAUAUUUGCGUUUCCCACAAAUCUCUGGAAAGCAGAAAGCUUGCCACAAGGGCAGCACACGGUAUGAGUCACAAAGGCAAGGACCUGAGGGAGAACACUUCCCAGGACUUUCAAAUAAGGUCUUUCCUAAAUGUACUUGGCUCAGUGUGGCAAAAGCACUGGGCUAGCAGCAGUCAGAUGUGGGUUCAAAGCAAGGCACAAUCAUUUAUUAGCUAUAAAUUUGGGCAAGUCACUUCUUGAGAAUAAGUUUCUUCAUCUGUAAACAGAAGUAAUACCUUCCUUAUAUCUUAAAUUGGUGUGGAAGUAAAUGAGUAAAAACCUCAGGGUUUUUCUGAGUUUAAAUGAGACAAUUCAUGUAACGUGCUUAGCACAAUACCUGGUACCCAGUAGGUACUCUGCAGUAUUUAUUGAUGAUGAUGAUGAUGAUGAUGAUGAUGAUGAUGAUGACAAAGAAAUACAAGGAAAUGUCAACACCUUAACAGUGCAUUCAUAGAUCUACAAAAUGCUUAAUCUCAGUGUUCUGGCAACCACUAAAUACAUAAAGAUAAUCUAAGACAUCAAGAUUUCAACAUAUAAAAAUAAAUAUAAAAACAAGUGAACAAUAAUCAUUUAUAUGUAGUUUCAUGACUGGAAAAAAUAAUAACCUAGAUUUUUUCUUAACCUAGAAAAUCUAGAUUAAAAAAUAAAGAUCUUGCAUUUUUGAUAUAAAACACAAAUAAUAAGGACAUGAAAAAAGAAUAUCCCUUGCUAGUAAUCAAAUAAUAGCAAUGAGAAGCUGGAUUCUUAUAUCUAAAAUAAAAGUGCAAAUAGUUCAUAAUAUCCAUUGGUGGUAAGGUUGUGGUAAAACUAGUAUUCUUAUUCUCUGCCAGUUGCUUUGGAAAUUGGUACUAUCUUUUUAGGAAUAUGGCAAUAUGUAACAAAAGCCAUAAAAUAUUCUACUCCUGGGUCUUUCUCCUCGGGAAGUAACUCAACAGAAGCAAAAAGAGGUGUAUACAAAAACCAAAUAUAAAAACAAACAAAUCUUUCCUCCCUCUUUCCUCCCACUGCCAAAAAAUGAAAGCUGGGAAUAGCCUAAAUUUCCAACUUAGUUGAAUUGUUCAAUAUAUUAGAGUUCAUCAAUAUGAGAGAAUAUUAUGCAUCUAAUAAUUGUGACGACUAUGUAUAAACAUGGAAAAUAUUUAAGAUCUGAUGUUUAACUAGCAUAUACACUAUUAUUGUAGCUAUGAGAAAGAAAUACUGCAUAUUUAGAAAUUAAUAUACAAAAAUGAAAACAACUAUGUUUGGGGACAGUGAUUAUGUACUUUUAAAUUUUUUUUAAUCUUGUUAUCUUUAAACUUUUCUAAAAAUGAUGUGAUUACAAGCAAUGGCUCUUUGGGAUCACCUAAUAAAUACCUACUAAAUUCUAGACGGGACAACGAGCUCUGCCAUCCUGCAAUGGCUCCUGUGACCUAGUUCCAGGGCCAUUCUGAAUGGACAGAGGUCUUCACAAUGGAGGUGGAGAUGCAGGGAGCUCUAUGGCAUGAAAUGGUUAAUGAUUCUCUUUUGUAAUUGUGUUUUCUGUUUGCUGCCUUAGUUCUAAAAGGAGGCAAAACAACUGUGGUUUAUUCUACCUUUUCCAGGCAUAGUUCUUCUCCUACCUUUGUGAUCCCCAAAUUAAUAUCAAAUGUCUAAUUAGUUUUUUUCUCCAUUGGUGAUCCCCAAAUUAAUAUCAAAUGUCAGACAAAGUAAAUCAAAGUACAAAUAAAGGUAAAACUGCUCUUGCAAAGGGCUAAAAUAGCAAUGUUUACUAGAAGCAUUCAAGAGCCAGUUCAAUUUCCUAUUUCUCAUUAAGUGGUAAAAUAGUAAUGCCAAGACCACAUCCCAGAAUCUCCAGGGUAACAGAGGCCCAACGAAGGGCUGCAGAGAAACUUGAAAGUAAACUGGCUUAGUUCUUUACACACAGAAAUUGUUCUACAAAGAUCUCUUGCAAAGCAGUGUCACCAGUAGCAUCACUGCCACUAAGCCAAUGUCCCAGGAAUUGAGGAAAGGAAGACACCCUUAAAGAAAAAAAUGGAAAAAAGCCACAAGGACUGGUACCACAGUAAAUGUCUGCCUGGGUCUCCCUAAACUGUCUUAGGUGAGCUUACCCAGGAAUGUUUCUCCCCUACAUGUUUGCCUUCCUUUGUUUAAGCCUUUAUUCCUCCUAAAUGAAAAUAAAUACCCCCGAC
rnacentral:lncRNA from 1 species